GAUGAACGCUAGCGGCGGGCUUAACACAUGCAAGUCGAGGGGCAGCACGGGUAGCAAUACCUGGUGGCGACCGGCGCAAGGGUGCGUAACGCGUGAGCAACAUGCCCUAUACAGGGGGAUAAUCCAGGGAAACUUGGUCUAAUAUCCCAUAGUAUUUAGAGGAGGCAUCUUCUAUAAAUUAAAGCUUCGGUGGUAUAGGAUUGGCUCGCGUGACAUUAGCUAGAUGGUGAGGUAACGGCUCACCAUGGCAAUGAUGUCUAGGGGUUCUGAGAGGAAGGCCCCCCACACUGGGACUGAGACACGGCCCAGACUCCUACGGGAGGCAGCAGUGAGGAAUAUUGGACAAUGGAUGGAAAUCUGAUCCAGCCAUGCCGCGUGCAGGAAGACAGCCCUAUGGGUUGUAAACUGCUUUUAUAUGGGAGCAAUAAGGUCUACGUGUAGACUGAUGAGAGUACCAUAUGAAUAAGC
rnacentral:rRNA from 1 species